UAACACGAUCUGGGGUGCCAAGUUGGCUGAGAAAUACCCAUUGAACCUGAUCGCGGUAAUGCGCGCGAAGGGAGAUUCAUUGAUGAAGAC
rnacentral:ncRNA from 1 species